rnacentral:rRNA from 1 species
UACGUAGGGUGCAAGCGUUUGUCCGGAAUUAUUGGGCGUAAAGAGCUCGUAGGCGGUUUGUUGCGUCGGCUGUGAAAUCCCGAGGCUCAACCUCGGGUCUGCGAGUCGAUACGAGCAAACUAGAGUGUUGCAGGGGAGACUGGAAUUCCUGGUGUAGCGGUGAAAUGCGCAGAUAUCAGGAGGAACACCUGCGGCGAAGGCGGGUUGCUGGGCCGACACUGACGCUGAUGCGCGAAAGCUAGGGGAGCGAAGCGGG